rnacentral:lncRNA from 1 species
CUUAAAAGCCAACCCCAAUAGUAGAAACACUAGUGUUCAACUAUUGUAUUAAGAAACAAACAAACAACAACAAAAAAAAAACAAAGUUGGAGGUUAAUGUAAGAAUCUGUGCACAUAACUUUAGGAUUUCUUUAUCCAAACAUGACUAUUUUCAUAAGUAAUUCAGCAAUACCAGAGCAUACCAGAGCCAACAAGUGUCUUAUGUAAAACAAUACAUAAGCUUGCACAGCUCCUUCUCAGUCCAGGACCCUGUUAAAUUAAAAGACAAGCCAUCCUACACAUUCAGAAUCGAAUACAUUCCCAUUUCCUUCCUCCUCCAUCCUUUCUUCCCCUUUUCUCCCCUCCUCUUCAAUGUUCUCUCCCUUCUCACUUUUUCUUUGCCUUCUUCCUCCCUUCCUCUCUCUCUCCUUUUUCCCUCUUUCCCUGUCUCCUUUCUUCAUUCUCCCUCCCACCCUCUCUUCUUCUUCCCCUCUCUCUUUUUCUUUUUACCAAUCAGUCGUGUGCUGAUUAAAAGUACAAAUAAAUGAAUGUGUUAACCAAAAUACGAGGGCAUAGAGACCAGGAGAUGAAGCCAUGUUUGCAUUUUCUUCAAUUUCAAAUGGAUAACAUGUGUUAGUCACAUAUUCUCAACUUGCUUGAACUAAAACCCCCUUGGUUUCAUGAGAACAUUCCAAUUUUGCCUUUUUUAUAACAGACCUUUUUAUAUAUAUAAAAAUGUUGGUUGGAGUCUUCUCAAAGUGAUCUUUGAAAUGUUAUCAAUGUGUUAUAAUUGCCAUUUUCUCUAACAAACACAUAAGCUGGUUGAGAAGAAGUUUUGGAGGAGGCAGGACAUGGGACUGUCCAGCACUGUGUACCUAGGCUGCUAAUCCACAGUCACUAUUGUCUCAUGUCUGACUGCUGUUUGACUAUUUCUUUUACAGCCUCCUGCAGUACUUCCUGCACACUACCCUACAGCCAUGACAUCUAUUUUCAUUUUCUCACCAUUUUGACAUCUCACUCUUUUUCUUAUCCCAUCUAAUGUGUUGCUGUAUUCUGUCAGUUUAUGUGGUCACUGUUAAUUUACUUUUUGUUAUUUAUUUACUUGGUACCACCUACUGUCUUAUAGGCUUUUCUUUUCUUUCUUUUUUUUUUUUUUUUUGUCUGUCUGCUGUCUCUUAUACUCACUAGUCCUGCCUCCUAGAUGCACUGAGAAUACCCAAUUCCAGCAACCUCCAUGUGUUUGCCUCCUAAGUACUGAGUGUCUCUUCUGAGUUCAUGCAUACAAUGCAUAAACUUACAGACGUAUAGUACCAGGUUAUUUCUGUAAAAUUCAAAAUACUGCUCCCAAGUCACCCAAGAUAACAAUGCAUUGCCAUCCUGUUGAAACAUCAGACAGUGAGAAAUGAAUUGAAUAAUUAUGAUUUUAAAGUCCACAUUUCCUAGAAAUGUAUAAACACCUCACUGAAAUUAAUGUAUGGUAGAAUAAAUGAUUAGUCCUAGAUACAAUAAAAUAAUUAAAUUGCCACAUGGUAAAAAUAUUCAAAUAAGUAAGCGGUCGAAAGCUGUGCCAUUUGUUUUAAUUUCAUUUUCAUUUGAUUGUCUCAUUUACAAAUGACAAACAAAGGCAGGUCAAGGGAGAUGUGUGUCUCAACCUGACAUGCCACACUGUAAAGUGUACACGCGUGCAGACACUGCGUAUCCAUGUGUCUGUAUCCAAGGCUUCACAAGCAUUCCUCCUAAUUAUGCUUUAUCCAUGCUUUGAGCAGCCAGGCACUGAUCAUUCAAGUGCCAUUGUCUGAUUCAAAGACUUGUAAUUAGGCAGAAAUGCUGGGUACAAUGAACUCUAUGGAAGUAUCCCUGUGCUCAGUGUGUAUGAAAUUGAUCAUCUAGAAGUAUUUCUCUGGGAAAAAAAAUUACCAGUUUCAAAGAUGCGUUAGCCUAGUUUGA